GCACAAAUAAUAUCAGCUAGUAUUGCUGGGGAUAUGGUUCUUGCAGCUGCCUAUUCUCAUGAGCUUCCUCAAUUUGGGCUUGAAGUCGGUUUGACAAACUAUGCAGCAGCUUACUGCACUGGACUUCUGUUGGCUCGUCGAACUUUGAAAAAGCUUGAAAUGGAUGAGGAAUAUGAGGGCAAUGAGGAGGCUACUGGGGAGGACUAUUCAGUUGAACCAGCAGAGACUAGGAGGCCAUUCCGUGCUUUACUUGAUGUUGGGCUGGUUAGAACCACAACUGGAAAUCGUGUUUUUGGUGCUCUCAAGGGAGCUCUAG
rnacentral:misc_RNA from 1 species